rnacentral:tRNA from 1 species
CAUCUGACGCAGGACUCGAACCUGCAACCUCCCGAUCCGUAGUCGGACGCGCUAUCCAAUUGCGCCAGCCAGAC